rnacentral:rRNA from 1 species
CCUACGGGGGGCAGCAGUGAGGAAUAUUGGUCAAUGGACGAGAGUCUGAACCAGCCAAGUAGCGUGAAGGAUGACUGCCCUAUGGGUUGUAAACUUCUUUUAUAAAGGAAUAAAACGAGGCACGUGUGCCUUUUUGCAUGUACUUUAUGAAUAAGGAUCGGCUAACUCCGUGCCAGCAGCCGCGGUAAUUCGGAGGAUCCGAGCGUUAUUCGGAUUUAUUGGGUUUAAAGGGAGCGUAGAUGGGUUGUUAAGUCAGUUGUGAAAGUUUGCGGCUCAACCGUAAAAUUGCAAUUGAUACUGGCAGUCGUGAGUACAGUUGAGGUAAGCGGAAUUCGUGGUGUAGCGGUGAAAUGCUUAGAUAUCACGAAGAACCCCGAUUGCGAAGGCAGCUUACUAAACUGUGACUGACAUUGAUGCUCGAAAGUGUGGGUAUCAAACAGGAUUAGAUACCCGAGUAGUC